rnacentral:rRNA from 1 species
AACAGGGAUUGCCCUAGUAACGGCGAGUGAAGCGGCAACAGCUCAAAUUUGAAAUCUGGCUUCGGCCCGAGUUGUAAUUUGCAGAGGAUGUUUCUGGCGCGGUGCCUUCCGAGUUCCCUGGAACGGGACGCCACAGAGGGUGAGAGCCCCGUAUGGUUGGACACUAAGCCUGUGUGAAACUCCUUCGACGAGUCGAGUAGUUUGGGAAUGCUGCUCAAAAUGGGAGGUAAAUCUCUUCUAAAGCUAAAUACCGGCCAGAGACCGAUAGCGCACAAGUAGAGUGAUCGAAAGAUGAAAAGCACCUUGAAAAGGGGGUUAAACAGUACGUGAAAUUGUUGAAAGGGAAGCGCUUGUGACCAGACUUGUGCCGGGCGGUUCAUCCGGGGUUCUCCCCGGUGCACUCCGCCCGGUUCAGGCCAGCAUCGGUUUUCGUUGGGGGAUAAGAACGUCAGGAACGUGGCCCUCCUUCGGGUGGGUGUUAUAGCCUGGCGUACGAUACCCUGACGGGGACCGAGGUUCGCGCUCCGCAAGGAUGCUGGCGUAAUGGUCAUCAGCGACCCGUCUUGAAACACGGACCAAGGAGUCGUCCAUUAGAGCGAGCGUUUGGGUGUCAAACCCGCACGCGUAAUGAAAGU